rnacentral:rRNA from 1 species
UUACUGUUCUGGGCUACACACGUGCUACAAUGGCCGGUACAGACGGACGCAAAGCCGCGAGGUGGAGCAAAUCCUAAAAAGACCGGUCUCAGUUCGGAUUGCAGGCUGCAAUUCGCCUGCAUGAAGUCGGAAUCGCUAGUAAUCGCAGGUCAGCAUACUGCGGUGAAUACGUUCCCGGGCCUU